UACGUAGGGGGCAAGCGUUGUCCGGAUUUAUUGGGCGUAAAGAGCGUGUAGGCGCCAGGUAGGUCCGUUGUGAAAACUCGAGGCUCAACCUCGAGACGUCGGCGGAAACCCUCUGGCUAGAGUCCGGAAGAGGAGAGUGGAAUUCCUGGUGUAGCGGUGAAAUGCGCAGAUAUCAGGAAGAACACCCGUGGCGAAGGCGGCUCUCUGGGACGGUACUGACGCUGAGACGCGAAAAGCGUGGGGGAGCGAACAGG
rnacentral:rRNA from 1 species